UCUCCUGGAAAACGGGUGGUAAUGCCGGAUGUUCCACAUGAUCGCAUGUGAUUGUGGGAAAGAUUCUAUCGGCGUGGGAUGGGGUCGCGUCCUAUCAGCUUGUUGGUGAGGUAACGGCUCACCAAGGCUUCGACGGGUAGCCGGCCUGAGAGGGCGACCGGCCACAUUGGGACUGAGAUACGGCCCAGACUCCUACGGGAGGCAGCAGUGGGGAAUAUUGCACAAUGGGCGCAAGCCUGAUGCAGCGACGCCGCGUGAGGGAUGGAGGCCUUCGGGUUGUAAACCUCUUUUGUUUGGGAGCAAGCCUUCGGGUGAGUGUACCUUUCGAAUAAGCGCCGGCUAACUACGUGCCAGCAGCCGCGGUAAUACGUAGGGCGCAAGCGUUAUCCGGAUUUAUUGGGCGUAAAGGGCUCGUAGGCGGCUCGUCGCGUCCGGUGUGAAAGUCCAUCGCUUAACGGUGGAUCUGCGCCGGGUACGGGCGGGCUGGAGUGCGGUAGGGGAGACUGGAAUUCCCGGUGUAACGGUGGAAUGUGUAGAUAUCGGGAAGAACACCAC
rnacentral:rRNA from 1 species